rnacentral:misc_RNA from 1 species
UUUCCGUAGGCGAACCUGCGGAAGGAUCAUUAUUGAAACUUCAUCCGGGGCGCCGCGGCCCUCAGCACCGGUGGAAACGCCGUGUUGCGGGGGCCGCGCGUGCACUCGUCCAAACCAAACCCCUGUGAACCUUUCGGGAUGGCCUGAGUUAGCGCCCGGUGCCGUUCCGCUUUAUACAAGCACUUAUCAAAGAAUGAACUGAAGGCGGUCUGACCGCUGGAUGACAAAACUGAAACAACUUUCAACAACGGAUCUCUUGGCUCUC